GUGAACUCCAAGGUCAGAAGAGCUGAGGCAUGGAAAUUCAAUGAUUUUUAAACCCAAAGAGAGGGAAAGGCAGGAGAACCACCACAGUACUUUCUAGCACUCAAAAUGAAGCUUGAGGAAUUCAAGUGGUCAAGUGGAAAUAUGGUAUUUAUGUGGCAAGGCUUUGACAGUAACACAUAUGCUGGAAUGGACACAGCUGGUGCAAGCUCUCUCUAAAAAGUCCACUGUAGGAUGUGGCUGAAUCUGCCCAACAAAGAUGGUGGCACCUCUGGGAAACCUUAUUUAAGAAAGGACAAAACACUGUGUGACAGAGAAGUGUGAGACAAAACGUGAGAGAAGCAGACCUGCAGACACCAAGUCCUGACAAGAAGGAAUAGGUGACCCAGUCACCAGGGCCCAGGUUUCCCUUCCCAGUUUCCCUGGUGGUGGAGACCAUGGUGAGGCAUUUUGUUCCACACUGUACAUUCUAAAGCACUGCAGCUGCAGCAGGGGAGCCCAUCCUCAAGGAACAUGCAGCCCAGAGAGUGACGGCAGGAGCAGGCACCUGGCAGAGGAGCUGAGCUGUACCACCAAAGUGUUUUAAGAAAUGGGAAGAAUGGGAAUGCAUGUAACAAGAUUUAGAUAAAUAUAUAGGUCCUUUAAAUCUUAAGAUACCAUUGACUAAAAAAAUAUUAAACCAGAUACUCUAAAUCUUAAACUGCCAUUGUCAGCAAAACAAACAAUGCACUACAAUUCUAAAUAACAUAAAAUAGAAAAAAUAAUAGCAUUACAUUAAUCGGUA